rnacentral:miRNA from 1 species
UGCCCUACUCUUCGCAUCUCAUC